rnacentral:sRNA from 1 species
UAGGUCAUAGUAUUAAUAUUUAACAUAUGUAUUGCAUUGUCAUUGUGAUUCUGAUUUUUCAUUAUUUUCUCUCUGACACUUCACAUAAAAUGUUCUGUUCUUCUUUCUGACAGAUGAAAAUAGAUGUUUAAAAGCAAAUGCCAAAUCAUGUGGAGAAUGUAUACAAGCAGGGCCAAAUUGUGGGUGGUGCACAAAUUCAACAUUUUUACAGGAAGGAAUGCCUACUUCUGCACGCUGUGAUGAUUUAGAAGCCUUAAAAAAGAAGGGUUGCCCUCCAGAUGACAUAGAAAAUCCCAGAGGCUCCAAAGAUAU